AGCGAACGCUGGCGGCAGGCCUAACACAUGCAAGUCGAACGGAUCCUUCGGGAUUAGUGGCGGACGGGUGAGUAACACGUGGGAACGUGCCCUUUGGUUCGGAACAACUCAGGGAAACUUGAGCUAAUACCGGAUGUGCCCUUCGGGGGUAAGAUUUAUCGCCAUUGGAGCGGCCCGCGUCUGAUUAGCUAGUUGGUGGGGUAAAGGCCCACCAAGGCGACGAUCAGUAGCUGGUCUGAGAGGAUGAUCUGCCACAUUGGGACUGAGACACGGCCCAAACUCCUACGGGAGGCAGCAGUGGGGAAUCUUGCGCAAUGGGCGAAAGCCUGACGCAGCCAUGCCGCGUGAAUGAUGAAGGUCUUAGGAUUGUAAAGUUCUUUCACCGGGGACGAUAAUGACGGUACCCGGAGAAGAAGCCCCGGCUAACUUCGUGCCAGCAGCCGCGGUAA
rnacentral:rRNA from 1 species